rfam:Dipodomys ordii contig_9135, whole genome shotgun sequence.
GGGAAUGUAGCUUAGUGGUAGAGUGCUUGCCUAGCAUGCAUGAAGCCCUGGGUUCAAUUCCUCAGUACCA